rnacentral:SRP_RNA from 1 species
GCUGGGUGUGGCGGCGCGCACCUGUAAUCGAGCUACUUCGAAGCUGAGGUAGUGAACUGCUUGAGGUCGGGGUUCUUACUGGUAGUUAUCCUAUGUCGAUCGAGCGUCCACACUAAGCCUUGUGUCAAUAUGGGCAGUUAGAGGGAGCUCUAAAUGUCCAGGUUGCGUAAUGAGGAAUGAAUCGGCCCAGGGUGGAAACACAGCAGGCAAAAGUUCCCGCAUCAGGCAGUAGUGGGAUAGCGCUCGUGAAUAGGGAGCUUAUUAGUAGCCCGAUCAAGAUAGUAGAACAUUGCUUUUU